rnacentral:rRNA from 1 species
GGGGGGGGGGGGGGGGGGGGGGGGGGGAGGCGGGGCGGGGGGGAGGGCGCGGGUUGCGGGGUGCGCGGGGGGCGAACGGGGGAGUAACACGUGGGUGAUCUGCCCCGUACUGUGGGAUAAGCCUGGGAAACUGGGUCUAAUACUGGAUAGGACCAUGCUGUAGGUGGUGUGGUGGAAAGAUUAGUUUCGGUAAGGGAUGAGCUCGCGGCCUAUCAGCUUGUUGGUGGGGUAAUGGCCUACCAAGGCGUCGACGGGUAGCCGGCCUGAGAGGGUGGACGGCCACAUUGGGACUGAGAUACGGCCCAGACGCCUACGGGAGGCAGCAGUGGGGAAUAUUGCACAAUGGGCGCAAGCCUGAUGCAGCGACGCCGCGUGGGGGAUGACGGCCUUCGGGUUGUAAACUCCUUUCAGCCAUGACGAAGCCCUUGUGGUGACGGUAGUGGUAGAAGAAGCACCGGCUAACUACGUG